rnacentral:rRNA from 1 species
UCCGUAGACUGUAUUGUAAGUUAUUUGUUAAAUCCUAAAGCCUAACUUUAGAAAAGCGUUUAAUACUACUAUACUUGAGUUUUUUGCAGAAGAGUAGAAUUUCAUGUCGAGGAGUAACGACUGCAGACACAUGAAGGAAUAUCAGCAGCGAAGGCGGCUCUUUGGUAAAAACUGACGUUGAGGGACGAAAGUGUAGGUAGCAAACA